rnacentral:rRNA from 1 species
UACGUAGGGGGCAAGCGUUGUCCGGAAUCAUUGGGCGUAAAGAGCGUGUAGGCGGUCCGGUAAGUCCGCUGUGAAAGUCGAGGGCUCAACCUUGAAUGCCGGUGGAUACUGUCGGGCUUGAGUACGGGAGAGGCGAGUGGAAUUCCUGGUGUAGCGGUGAAAUGCGCAGAUAUCAGGAGGAACACCGAUUGCGAAGGCAGCUCGCUGGAACGUUACUGACGCUGAGACGCGAAAGCGUGGGGAGCAAACAGG